CCAAGAUGCAUUUGCCAUUCUAUGGACAGCAGUGGCCAUCUUGACAGCUCAUCACACUAAUGCUCACGGUUUACAAGAAGGUGACGGAGACUGAAACCUUGUUCAACCGGGAGAACCCCUGAAGAGUGCAGACCCUGCUUGUGCCAAGGAUGAGAAGAAUUCCCUCGAGUCCAGUGACUUAAACCCUACUGCACGAGGGCAGUGGGUUUCCAUCCCUAGGGGGAGAAGGAAGAAGACAAGGAGAAGGAAGAGUAGCCAGCCAAGACCCGCUGCUCAGCUCACCUCUGAACUCCUAGCAAGAACCGAUCCAGUCUAAAAGUGACAGAAAAAAAGCCAACUGUGGGAAACGGCUGCCAUCCCAUCUAUCCACCAGGAGCACAGAGCUAUAAAC